AAUCCGUCGACUUUAGAAAUCGUGAGGGUUCAAGUCCCUCUAUCCCCA
rnacentral:tRNA from 358 species